rnacentral:rRNA from 1 species
GAUGAACGCUAGCUACAGGCUUAACACAUGCAAGUCGAGGGACCGGCGCACGGGUGAGUAACACGUAUCCAACCUGCCCUUUACCCGGGGAUAGCCUUUCGAAAGAAAGAUUAAUACCCGGUCUAAAGGAUGGGGAUGCGUUCCAUUAGGUUGUUGUUGAGGUAACGGCCCACCAAGCCUUCGAUGGCAAGGGGUGCUGAGAGUAAGGUCCCCCACAUUGGAACUGAGACACGGUCCAAACUCCGACGGGAGGAAGCAGUGAUGAAGAUUGGUCAAUGGGCGUUAGCCUUAACCAGCCAAGUAGCGUAAAGGAGGAUGGCGUAUUAGUCGUAAACUGCUUGUAUAUAAGAAUAUGUAUUAUAUGAAUAAGGAUCGGCUAACUCCGUGCCAGCAGCCGCGGUAAUAC